UACGUAGGGGGCAAGCGUUGUCCGGAUUUAUUGGGCGUAAAGAGCUCGUAGGCGGUUUGUCGCGUCUGCUGUGAAAACCUAAGGCUCAACCUUGGGCUUGCAGUGGGUACGGGCAGACUAGAGUGCGGUAGGGGUGACUGGAAUUCCUGGUGUAGCGGUGAAAUGCGCAGAUAUCAGGAGGAACACCGAUGGCGAAGGCAGGUCUCUGGGCAUUAACGUG
rnacentral:rRNA from 1 species